UGAUAGCAACCAUCAUAAUGCCCCACCCAGCUUCCGGCACCUUUCGCCACUCCGGCACAAACCGACACAGCUUUGCGAUCUCGCCAGCAUGCAGAGUCUGUCUUCCCUAUAGAUGAUUCCAGAGACUCUGUGAGGCCACUAUUACAAGGUGAGACGCUUUGCGUUGAUUGGUGCUGCUGGACCACACUGGAGGUGCGAGUCCGCCGUGUAAUGGUUUAUGCCAUUACAAAGGAGCUGGCGUCUGUACUCAACUGGACAGGGAAAAAAUACCAAGGACCAGACAAAGCAAA